UCACACGGAACUAGCCGGUCCAUAAACCGGAGGAAGGUGGGGAGUGACGUCAAGUCAGCAUGGCCUUUAUAUCCUGGGCUACACACACGCUACAAUGGGAAGGGACAAUAGGUUGCGAAGCCGCGAGGUGGAGCCAAUCCAGUAAAACUUCCCUCAGUUCAGAUUGCAGGCUGCAACUCGCCUGCAUGAAGUUGGAGUUGCUAGUAAACGCAGGUCAGCCAUACUGCGUUGAAUACGUUCCCGGGGCUU
rnacentral:rRNA from 1 species